rnacentral:rRNA from 1 species
GACGAACGCUGGCGGCGUGCUUAACACAUGCAAGUCGAACGGAAAGGCCCUGCUUUUGUGGGGUGCUCGAGUGGCGAACGGGUGAGUAACACGUGAGUAACCUGCCCUUGACUUUGGGAUAACUUCACGAAACUGGGGCUAAUACCGGAUAGGAGCUCCUGCUGCAUGGUGGGGGUUGGAAAGUUUCGGCGGUUGGGGAUGGACUCGCGGCUUAUCAGCUUGUUGGUGGGGUAGUGGCUUACCAAGGCUUUGACGGGUAGCCGACCUGAGAGGGUGACCGGCCACAUUGGGACUGAGAUACGGCCCAGACUCCUACGGGAGGCAGCAGUGGGGAAUAUUGCACAAUGGGCGGAAGCCUGAUGCAGCAACGCCGCGUGCGGGAUGACGGCCUUCGGGUUGUAAACCGCUUUCGCCUGUGACGAAGCGUGAGUGACGGUAAUGGGUAAAGAAGCACCGGCUAACUACGUG